AUUGAACGCUGGCGGCAGGCCUAACACAUGCAAGUCGAGCGAGAAAGCACUUCGGUGCGAGUACAGCGGCGGACGGGUGAGUAACGCGUAGGAAUCUACCCGGUAGUGGGGGACAACUUGUGGAAACGCAAGCUAAUACCGCAUACGCCCUAUGGGGGAAAGCGGGGGAUCUUCGGACCUCGCGCUAUCGGAUGAGCCUGCGUAGGAUUAGCUAGUUGGUGAGGUAAAGGCUCACCAAGGCGACGAUCCUUAGCUGGUCUGAGAGGAUGAUCAGCCACACUGGAACUGAGACACGGUCCAG
rnacentral:rRNA from 1 species